rnacentral:rRNA from 1 species
UAGGGAAUCUUCGGCAAUGGGGGGAACCCUGACCGAGCAACGCCGCGCGAGUGAAGAAGGUUUUCGGAUCGUAAAGCUCUGUUGUUACGGAAGAACGAGUGUGAGAAUGGAAAGUUCAUACUGUGACGGUACUUAACCAGAAAGGGACGGCUAACUACGUGCCAGCAGCCGCGGUAAUACGUAGGUCCCGAGCGUUGUUCAGUUUUAGUGGGCGUAAAGCGAGCGCAGGCGGUUAGAUAAGUUUGAAGUUAAAGGCGGUGGCUCGACCAUUGUAGGCUUUGGAAAACGUUUAACUUGAGUGCAAAAGGGGGGAGUGGAAUUCCAUGUUUAGCGGUGAAAUGCGUAAUUAUAUGGAGGAACACCGGUGGCGAAAGCGGCUCUCUAGUCUGUAACUGACGCUGAGGCUCGAAAGCGUGGGGAGCGAACAGG